rnacentral:rRNA from 1 species
UGGGGAAUCUUGGACAAUGGGCGCAAGCCUGAUCCAGCCAUGCCGCGUGGAUGAUGAAGGCCUUAGGGUUGUAAAAUCCUUUCGUGGGGGACGAUAAUGACGGUACCCCAAGAAGAAGCUCCGGCUAACUUCGUGCCAGCAGCCGCGGUAAUACGAAGGGGGCUAGCGUUGUUCGGAUUUACUGGGCGUAAAGCGCGUGUAGGCGGGUCGUUAAGUUGGGGGUGAAAUCCCGAGGCUCAACCUCGGAACUGCCUUCAAAACUGGCGACCUGGACCCAAGUAGAGGCAAGUGGAAUUGCGAGUGUAGAGGUGAAAUUCGUAGAUAUUCGCAGGAACACCAGUGGCGAAGGCGACUUGCUGGACUUGUGGUGACGCUGAGACGCGAAAGCGUGGGGAGCAAACAGGAUUAGAUACCCUUGUAGUCCCUGAGCGGGCUGGCAAGGCGCAU